CGUGGCCCAGCCCUGAAGCCUAAUCUACCCUCACCAGCUGUGUGGCCCUGGGUGAGCCACUUUGGUGGCUCAUCCCCUCAGCUGAGUGGGGGAUACUACCACCUGUCUCAGGUGUUGCUGUGGAGACCGGAGAGAGGGCAGAGGAGAAGCUAGUCCAGCAGUGGAUCCAUAGCAGGGACGUAAGAAGUGAGCAUUCCUCAUCACUGGAGCUUGUCCAGAGCCUGAGCUCGAAAGCAUCGGCCAAUGCCAGAUAGAUCGACAUGACUAAUGAGAACUUCUCCCUGCAUCAAGUGUCUGCCUGAAAGGUAUGGUAGGGAGUCUGAAAGCCACCUGAACUCUGCUUAGAAGAGGCAGAACAAAAAGGCAUGUAGGAGGAGGAAAGAGACACUGUGAUCUUGGCUAUAGAAGAGAAGUCAGCUGUAGGGCACUGGUGAGUUUGGCCAUUCGUGGGGCCAGGAUCCAAGCUCUUGAGGAGAGUUCUUCUGUGUAGGUCAUGAGGAACUGGAGCGGGGAGAAGUGAAUUCAAACGGUGCUGGAAUGGCCAAGGAGCCUGCCGGACUUACUGCACAAGGCAAGAAACCUACAUGCAACUGUGCCCAGAUGCCUCUCUGUGCU